AAUUUCGAAAGGCGAGGAGGCCAGAGAGAGAGAGAGAGAGAGAGAGAGAGAGAGGCAGCAGCGAAGAAUAAGAGGAAGAGGUGCCGUUAUUCUGAUAUCAGUUUCGGUUUUGGAUUGAUGCGACGAGAAGAAGAUCGGAGACGGUAGUAGCCUAGCCGGUGGUGGUUGUUUUCGGUUCUUCAGAAGAGCGAGAGCGAGAGGGAGAGCAUGGGCGACGGCAACCGAGGCCUCUCGGCUAAUUCUAAUUCUAAUUCAAACCACGGCGGUAGCAACAAGCCGGAGUGGCUCCAGCAGUAUGAUCUGAUCGGCAAGAUCGGCGAGGGAACCUACGGCCUCGUCUUCCUCGCCAGGACCAAGACCCCUAACAACCGCGGCAAAUCCAUUGCCAUCAAGAAAUUCAAGCAGUCCAAGGACGGCGACGGCGUCUCCCCCACCGCCAUCCGCGAAAUCAUGUUACUGCGGGAAAUCUCCCACGAUAAUGUGGUGAAGCUUGUGAAUGUUCACAUCAAUCACUCCGACAUGUCGCUCUAUCUGGCUUUUGAUUACGCUGAGCAUGACCUUUAUGAAAUCAUUAGACAUCAUAGAGACAAAGUUAAUCAUGCGAUCAAUCAGUAUACUGUUAAGUCCUUGCUAUGGCAGCUGCUCAAUGGACUAAAUUAUCUUCAUAGCAAUUGGAUAAUUCAUCGUGAUCUAAAGCCAUCUAAUAUCUUGGUUAUGGGUGACGGAGAGGAACAAGGAGUGGUCAAAAUUGCCGAUUUCGGACUUGCAAGAAUAUAUCAGGCUCCCUUGAAGUCGUUGUCUGAAAACGGGGUUGUGGUAACCAUAUGGUAUCGUGCACCAGAAUUGCUCCUUGGGGCAAAGCACUACACAAGUGCUGUCGAUAUGUGGGCUGUUGGAUGCAUUUUUGCUGAGCUUUUAACUUUGAAGCCAUUAUUUCAAGGGGCAGAAGUGAAAGCUACACCAAAUCCUUUCCAGCUUGAUCAACUUGACAAGAUUUUCAAAGUUCUAGGCCAUCCUACGCUAGAAAAGUGGCCGACACUUUCAAAUCUUCCACACUGGCAACAAGACCAACAACACAUUCAAGGGCACAAGUAUGACAAUACUGCACUUUACAGUGUAGUUCACCUCUCUCCAAAAAGUCCUGCAUAUGACCUCCUAUCUAAGAUGCUCGAAUAUGAUCCUCGAAAGCGUAUAACAGCAGCACAAGCGUUAGAACACGAUAUGUAUAAAGAACUUGGUAUGCAUGUAAGAGUGGUCAUCAUGACAGAGUACAAUUUUCUAAAGUUGCAUCUGUUGUAUUUCAGAUACUUUCGUAUAGAACCUCUACCAGGACGCAAUGCAUUGAUGGCCAGUCAAGGAGAAAAGGCAGUGAAUUACCUUACUCGUCCGGUUGACACAACUACAGACUUUGAAGGGACAACCAGCCUUCAACCUUCACAACCGGUAUCGUCUGGAAAUGCAGGAAGCAUGUCAGGUGCUCAUGUAGGGAACAGAUCUAUGCCCAGGCCGUUACUUAACAUGCAAAGAAUGCAGCCAUCUCAGGGCUUGACUGCAUAUAAUCUUGCAACACAGGCAGGGAUGGGUGGUGGAAUGAAUCCUGGUGGUAUCCCCAUGCAGCGUGGUGUUGGUCAGGCCCAUCACCAACAACAGUUGAGAAGGAAAGAUCCAGGAAUGGGGAUGACUGGAUACCCUCCACAGCAGAAAUCUAGACGUUUCUGAGUUUCAUUGCACCUGGUAUUUUUUUUUUGGCCGUGGAUCUCUGGAAACUCCUGAAGGACGUUAAAUGGGGAGAGUCGUACAUAGGGCAUGAGUUCAACCGUAUAAAAUAUCCCAACUUAUGGCAUUUCUCAAUCUAUGGACCCGGUUUCCCCCCUGUUGACUUGAUUGAUGUGAUCUUAUUUAUACCGUUUGAUGUCUUCCAAACUUCAAAGAUUGAGGACGUACGAUAGGAUGGUGUGAUUCUUCUGAUUAUGUCAAAGACGGAAUGCUGUAGCAGAUUUUUGGUUAUUCUUGGCCCUCUGGUUAUUGCAGUGGGACAAAGUUUUCCAGACACUGCAAGGGUAGCCCGGGCUACUGUUGUAGGCUAGACCCUAAUUAUGACUUGAUUUCUGUACAAGUUUGUAGCUAAGCACAAGAGUUGUUGCCAGCAGACAACAUGGUAAUACUGCCACAUCCAAGUAUUUUAGCAUCCUCACCAGUAGUGAAAACAGAUGGAGGAUUGUAGGGGAGUAUAGACACAGAUUUGUUUGAUGAGAAUCCCAUUAACUGGGACUCAAAAUUUGAUACAUGUGUGUAUACAAGAAAUAUAUAUUUGGAGAAACAAAUUUACUAUUUUCUUCUA